rnacentral:lncRNA from 13 species
AUGUGUUUGAUGCCAUUUCCAAUCGUUCUAUCCAUUAUUAUGAGCCGUCCCCCCCUCAGCAGCCUCCGUUGCCAUUGCCAAGCGCAAAGAAUGUACAGGCACACCAUUGAAGACCGAUACAAAGAAGCUGAAGCAGGUUGCAAAAUACAUAGCUGGCGGACUAAGAGCCCAAAAGACCAAGGUCCAGUGGAGCCGGUAGAGCCCUGCCCUCAGCCUGUGGAGACAGAGAUUGAGACCCUUGACAACAUCCGCAAAAAGCUGAAAAGGAGAAGAGGAAGGCAGAGUUUGAGACCUACCUGCGACACGAUGAACCGCUUCAACAAAGAUGUGGUGGAGGACACACACACAAGGUCCACCUCGAGUCUUUUAGCCAAUGGGAUGUUCCGGAAUUGGUCGUGUAUUGAACCUGCUGCCCACCCACUUUACCAUGGUGGCCAAGGAACACAUUGA